ensembl:miRNA
UCUCUUGUGUUAAGGUGCAUCUAGUGCAGUUAGUGAAGCAGCUUAAAAUCUACUGCCCUAAAUGCCCCUUCUGGCACAGGCU